rnacentral:rRNA from 1 species
GACGAACCGUGCGAACGUUAUUCGGAAUCACUGGGCUUAAAGCGCGUGUAGGCGGGUCGCUGCGUCGGCUGCUGAAAUCCCCCGGCUCAACCGGGGAACGGGCACCGAUACGAGCGGCCUGGAGGGGGGUAGGGGGGUCUGGAACUUCCGGUGGAGCGGUGAAAUGCGUUGAGAUCGGAAGGAACGCCCGUGGCGAAAGCGAGGCCCUGGACCCUUUCUGACGCUGAGACGCGAAAGCCAGGGGAGCGAACGGG